GCAGGCUCCUCACAGGCAGCCCGACACAGGACUCGAUCCCAGAACCCCAGGGUCACACCCUGAGCCCAAGGCAGACGUUCAACCGCUGAGCCACCCAGGGGCCCCGCCUUUUCAUUUUCUUAACAGCAGGGCCAGACCCAGGAGAUGGGAGUGCAUGGGCUGCCCAGGCACCCACAGAGCGGUCGCUGCUCACUCCCUCUCUGCUUUUCCCCCCACGUGUGCCCCACGUGUGGCCAGGCAGGGGCAGGGAAUGGGAGGCUCCCGGGAAGGACUGGCUUGUUUGCCUGCAGAGACCCUGACCUGCUGACCUUGUGCUGACACUCGCCCUCCCUUGACCAAGGCCAGCAAGGGCUCGGCAUGUUUUCAAUUCUACGGGGUGAGGACAGAGGAUGCGUGUGCGCAUCCACACACAGCAGGCAGUUCUCUGGAGGCAGGAACUUCAUGGACCCUUUUUUGCAGAUGCAGAGACAGUGGCACUGAGUCAGCAAGAGGGGAGCCCAGAAGGACCCGUAGGUCGCUGUGUUGCCACACGGAUGCUCCAACACAAGCCCGGACAGUAGCUCUGAAGGGCCAGGGUUCGCAAUGUCCCUGCCACCUGCCUCCAGGGACUCAGCGGCGUCCCUGUGAAUACUGGGCCAAGGACAAGGCAACCUCAGCUCACCUGAGCCUGAGCUCCGGGACCCUCUGACUCUGAUCUCGACACGGGGCUUGAGCUCACGACCCUGAGAUCAUGACCUGAGCCAAAAUCAGGGGUCAGAUGCUCAACACAUGGAGCCCCCCCAUGCCCCAGGUCUUCCCUGACCUACGAAAAUCCUUCAUCUGUGCGACCCCCCAGCAUACGCUGUCGGCCUGGAGCCUCCAGACACGGGGCACUGCUGUGCCUCUGAGGGGCCCGCGACUCUCAGGGUUUACUGGACGGUAAGUGACCCUUCAGGGUCCCGGGAAGCUCGCCUCCAAGUUCCCUAGAGACGAACACUGUCCCUGGCCCUCUCCCAACUCCCACGCGUCUAACCAGGCCCCCGGGCCCCAGGGCGGCUCCUCCUGCCCACGGGGCCUGUCUCCCGCCUUCAGUAAAACUGAAGACGUCUGAAGAACUCUUUCUUGGCCAUCGGCCCCUGAACCCCAACACCUCACGUCAGCCGUAGCAACCGAGGAGACCCACCCUCAGGUCCCCCGUGGCUGCUCCAGAAACCCCCCUGGGCAGAGCGGCUUCAAGCAACAACAUUGCUCCGUUCCUGUAGGUCAAGUUCCAAUAAGAAGAAGCGAGUCCGGGGAAUCACAUCACAAUUUAAAGCUCCGGGCAGGGCGGCCCCGCUGGGAGUUGGGGGGGCCCUGGGGUCCAAGGAAGGGAGCUGAGGGCCCAUGGGACGGGUGUGCGGGGAGGUCCACGGGGCCUGCGUGCUGAGCCCUUUUCACAGCGGCGACCGCCCCGAGCGUGGCCCAGGCCCAGGGUAGGACAUCACAGCCGAGCGGCCGUCCUGCGUGGAAGGGGAGUGAGCUCCCAGCCGCCACACUUGCUCUGGAGGGGGAUCUGCGGGCAGAGGCAGGUCUUUAUGCCCUGCGGGUGUGCCUGGGACUGUGGCUGUGACGGGGCCACAGGCGGAGGGAGCCACGGAUGACGGUAACCGGCCCCGGAACCUGCGGCCCCUGGCAGAUGCCUCCAGGACUCCGGGCCGUGGACUCUGGACCCCACGAAGUUUACCAACAUCCCCAAACUACAUCAGCUGGCCGGGAAGUAAUGCAUGGUCGGGGGUUGGGGACCGUGCUCACGAAGGCCCUGAGUGGCCUUCAGGACGGGUCAUUCCAGGUUGGCACCAGUCCGGUCUCGCAACGACGGCCAGUGACCACUUGGGAUCACUCCCGGGGCCGUCAGGAGGCGCCGCCGCUACAGGGAGGGGGAGACCGGGGGCAGGCUGGGCUGGUUCCCAGGUCCUGGCGCCCCAGCCGCUGCGGGUGGCCGGCCAUCUCCGACGCUUCCUGUCUGGCAGGUGACCCAUCACACCGUGUCUGCCUCCACCUUCCCACGACACUGUCCCGCGUGUGUCCGGGGCCCCAACUACAAGGACACCAGUCAUGUCGCAUGGAGGCCCAGCCUCGUGACCCCAUCUUGUAUGGAUCUGGGGGUGGGUGGACACCGUUCAACCUCCACCAUGCUUGGGUCUCGUUAGGAAGCUCGCUGGAGCUCAGGGCCCCCAGAGGAUCCUGGAGCGCCCACAGGACAGCGGCCCCCAGGCCUGCGGCCGGCUGCUGCCCAUGCGUCGGGCUCCGGCUCCCCGGGCCGCUGGCCUGCUACAUCCCUAACGUCGAUAAGCCACACUCAUCAGCUCAUUUUGAAGUUUUGCACAGAAAAUUUUUCUUCAACUUUAUCACAAAGGUGCUCCCCACAUUCUGUUCCAGAAACUUGCUCCUUCUCCCCUUGCGGGAACGGUCUCAGGCUCCCGGGAUUCGGGCCCGUCCGCGGUGAGGUCGGAGGAGCCUCUCCCGACACGGAGCCUCUCUCUCAGUGCCGCCUGUCCCGUGAGCCCUGUCUGCACCGGGGUCACCCCCGCCAACCACCAAUGGCUCCAGGUGACCCUCUGGUCUCUAGUCUGUUUCUGGCGGCUGGACACAGGUGUGAGGGACGCCUCCCCACGCGACUUCCUUGCCCUGACCUCGAGGCAAAUCAAGCAUUUCGCAAAAGCUCAACAGAAAGGACAAAGAAAAGCCUCUUCAUAGAGCAACCCCUCUGCGGCCUGGCCGCCCAAGUGGGAGAGGGCGGAGGGACCCCACGGGCCAGGACAGGGCCACAAAGACGGGCCUGUCCCCAGGACAGUCGGGCCCUGUUUGUGGGGAUGUUUGCUGGCAGCACAGCUGGGCUCGGACGCUGGGUGGGCGGCUCAGCACCCCCAGGCUCCCGGCUCCCCGCAACCUGAGACCCUCUGCGUCCCCACUGCCCCUGGGCUGGCCGCACGGAGCCGUGCAUGCAGGUGACUGGUUAGGGACACAAAUCAAGCCAAACUACACUCGAGGCCAGGUCCUCCCCUGCUCCGGGCAGGUGGCCCGGCCCCUCUGUGCCUUGUUCUUCACGCAAGCCCGCUUUCUGGGCACCGGGCCCCCGGGGAUGCCCAGGAGGGUGGGGCUCAGUCAUCCCCCACUCUGGCGGCCUUGGACCGCGAUGCCCUGAGGACAGAGAGCAAGGUGACUCCUCACACCUACCCUGUGGCUGUGUGACUCACUUGCAUCCCAGAAGUGGUGGGGAAGCCCUCCCAGGAGCCCAGAGGCCCCGCAGGCUGGUGGGCCUGGAGCCUCUCGGGCGCAGGGCUGCAGGGGGCUAGGGAGCCGGGGCCUGGGGUCGUGGAGAUGAGGCCCCCCACAAGCUGUCCAGGAAGCAGAGGGGACAGAGAGCGAUGGGGCAGGCGGUGGUCUGUGGACAGUGGGCAGAGGGAGUGAGAGGCGUGCAAGGAAACAGGUGUAGGUCCUGGGGCUCCCGAGAGGUAAGCGACUCAGCCAGAAGCUAGUGACCCCAAAGCCCAGGCCAUCCUGGCGAAGGCAGGGCCAACCUUGGUCUCCCAGCCUGGGGCUUGGGGAGGACCUUCCUCUCCUGGGGAGAGAAGGCCAUGGUGGUCAAGGCUGGGAGGUGGCCAGAGGGCACGACACACCCAGCUCCCCCUGACCGAGCCCUGCUGGAUGGACUGCCCCCACGUGGUCGGGGCUCUGAGGCCUGGGGCUGGGCCAGGCUCAGGGGCCACCAGCUGACAGACGGCCCUGUCCACCCCCAACCCCCAAGGCACAGCCUUGCACUGAGUGCCCCGUGGUUGCCCCUGCCGGUCACACGGAGACCCCAGGAAUGAGCCCCCCACAGAGCCUCAGCCAGGGUUGGUCCACGGGCUGCUGGGGGGCGGUGGGGGACACAGAUCAACAGGCCCGGUCUGGCCCAGGGCCUCCGGGCACCACAGCGCAGAGCCGCCAGCAGAGGGUGCCAGAGGCCUCCACCAAGGGUGGAGGGGGCAGGGCGGGCACUGGUGGUUCGGGGACCUGGGGGUGCAAGUGCAGCCCACCGUGCUGGGAGACCCCUCCACUCCCGCCCCAUAGCUGACCACCCACCCCGUCCCAAGUUGGUUAACACCCUUCUCCCGGGCACCUCCCUCAGCGUGGGGCUAGGCCUCAGCUUGGCCUCUCAGACUCAAGGCCUCCACCCCUCCGGGGGCGCCCUGAGGUCCCCCUCCCAUCUGGAGUUACAGGCCUUGGGCCUUCUGGACAUCUGACCUGGGAGAACCACAGCACGCAGAGUGCGCAGGGCGCCCCGGCCCCUCACCCCCUGGGAAUAUCCACUGGGGUACACAUGGGCACCCCCACUGGAGUCGGGGGUACGUGGCCUCACUUGGAAUGUCCACAGCCAGCCCAUCCCCAGCUCCAGGAGACAGACGCGUGGCUGCUAGGAUA